UACGUAGGGGCUAGCGUUGUCCGGAUUUAUUGGGCGUAAAGAGCGUGUAGGCGGCCAAGUAGGUCCGGUGUGAAACUCGAGGCUUAACCUCGAGAUGUCAUCGGAAACCAUUUGGCUAGAGUCCGGAAGAGGAAAGUGGAAUUCCUGGUGUGAGCGGUGAAGUGACGUAGAUAUCUGGAGGAACGACCGGUGGCGAAGGCGGCAUCCUGGACCGAUCUGACGCUGAUGAGCGAAGCCAGGGAGCAACGGG
rnacentral:rRNA from 1 species